CCGCCCUCCAGCCCAUCCCAAGAUGGCGGAGAUCCCCUUGUACUUUGUGGACUUGCAGGAUGACUUAGACGACUAGUUAUAGUGACAGGAUGACAUGUUGAAUGGAGAGUCGUAAAUAUCGGGACUGCCCGGAGAACGGAUUCUUAAUGAAAAUGCUUGCUGGGAUGGACGUGCUGGAACAUUCUGCCUGCAGCUUCAGCUCUGCUCAUGUCUGGACCAAUAAAGAUGGAUUUGAAGAUUGUGGUCCAGACUGUGACAGCGGGAAGGUCAUGGCUUUCUUGGACAUCCCUGGCCACGAUAACCUGCCCCUGCUCACUCGCUUGAAAAAGCAUGCGUUCAGUGAGAACGUCUUCAGCCGGUAAGCAGCAUCCUCUCACUGCUAGCCUUCCGCUGCUGUGACAGGUUCCAGGGGACUCACAGGCAAGGUGGGCUGCAGUUGUCUCCAGGAUGCCUUGACCCUGUCUCUGAGAGUCCUGUCUCACUAGGCUUUCCACUUGCUGUUUGUUGGUGUUAUUUUUGGUGGAGCUGAAUCAAAUCUAGAGUCUUGUGUAUACUUCAAUGCCUUUUCUCAUGGAGCUGUGCCUCUACCUCACCCCCCUUGUGCACUGCUUUUGUUACUGACUGCUACCUAAGCAAAGGAAGAAAUGUUGUGGAGGCUUUCUGUCACACACACACAGUACACACCGCACUGCUGCUGGACUCUGUGCUUUCAAGUUCAGCUGAGCGCUUGGUUAUCACCCUGUCCUGCCUUGCUCUACUGUACUCCACAACCAUACUGACCCGGUCCAGUCUAUCUUACUUUUAGCGAUGACCUUGAUUUGGUUUCUUAAGGAACUCAGGACCUGAGGUUGCCUAAACUCCCUGAAUCUGCACACCUUCAUCUCUGUCCCUCCUGUCUGUCCAUUUGCUCUGCUCUUGGCCCUGUCACUUCCCACCCUCUGUCCCCACCUAGUCUAUCUGCUACACUGGUCCUUUCAUUCCUGCCCUCUGCAUCCUCCUGUCCAUAGCUCUCCUCAGAGCCCUGGGUGACCGUCUACAUGCUGCUCUCUUGAGAGUGAGUGAUGUUCUAGGUCAAGCACAGGCCCGCUCCUCACAUUGUAAGUCACAGAACUGGGGGAGCCUGGUGUCCUCCAUUUUAGAAACAGAGAUUGGCAGCCCUCAUUCUCCAUCUCCACAGCCUGCCUGUUUCAUCUUUCCUACCAAGUGCUUUUUGUGUCAUGUAAAAGCAGUGUUUGCACUCGUUGGUGGCAGUUCAUACGUGACCUCAGGACUUGAGGCUGAGGCAGGACAAUAUCAAGUUUAAAGAUGGUCUGGGCCACUUGGGAGGACCUGUUUCAGGAAACAACAAAGAGAAAUGCUUGCCAGUUGCAGGCUUACAUUUCACAAUUUGGCU